GACGAACGCNGGCGGCGUGCCUAAUACAUGCAAGUAGAACGCUGAAGAGAGGAGCUUGCUCUUCUUGGAUGAGUUGCGAACGGGUGAGUAACGCGUAGGUAACCUGCCUGGUAGCGGGGGAUAACUAUUGGAAACGAUAGCUAAUACCGCAUAAUAGCAGUUAUUGCAUGAUAACUGUUUGAAAGGUGCAAAUGCAUCACUACCAGAUGGACCUGCGUUGUAUUAGCUAGUUGGUGGGGUAACGGCUCACCAAGGCGACGAUACAUAGCCGACCUGAGAGGGUGAUCGGCCACACUGGGACUGAGACACGGCCCAGACUCCUACGGGAGGCAGCAGUAGGGAAUCUUCGGCAAUGGACGGAAGUCUGACCGAGCAACGCCGCGUGAGUGAAGAAGGUUUUCGGAUCGUAAAGCUCUGUUGUAAGAGAAGAACGAGUGUGAGAGNGGAAAGUUCACACNGNGACGG
rnacentral:rRNA from 1 species